rnacentral:misc_RNA from 1 species
UCUCCGUUGGUGAACCAGCGGAGGGAUCAUUACAGGACACGCAAGACUCCUACAACCCUGUGAACUUAACUAUAAGCACGUUGCUUCGGCGGGUGUCUCGGAGGGGGUUCUCCCUCCCCGAGACGCUAAACCCGCCGGCAGCCUACUAUACUCUGUCUCUUUGCGUUGGCACCUCGAGUACAAUCAAGCAAGUUAAAACUUUCAACAACGGAUCUCUUGGUUCUG